rnacentral:other from 1 species
AGCGCCCUGCUGUGCGCGUGAGAUUAGACGAAAAAAUCUGAACCAACAAAUUUAUAACGGGAGCCUAACUCCGGGUACAGCGCGCGUGUCCCUGCUUUAUGGAAGAUUGGGAAAGCGCAAAGUAUUCGGGAGGGCACCCACCUGUAAUAAACAGGUUCACAGAUUUUAACGUUUCCACGGCAACGGUGGGGACAU